UUCAACCCCCUAACACUGCUUGCGGAGUCUAAAAACUCAACUGGUAGUGUACCAAAUAUUUUUCCAUAUAUAUAUGUGUGUGUGUUUAUAAUUACUUUAAGAUAGUGUUUGGAAAAUAUGAUUUCAGAAUUUAGAUUUAGAUUUUAAAAAUAGUCUAAUUUAAAUACUAAACUAUUUAGAAAUGUAAUUGUAGGGCCCAAAUUUUUCCCGGGCCCGCAUAAAUAAAAAUGAAUAUAAAUUCAAAGUCCUAUAAACAGUCCAAAGUUACAAUUUAUCAGCAAGCCCAACGCCAAAACUGCCCAAUUACAUCAGCCCAAAUCAACCUAGCCCAAAACCCUCUUUAAACCCAGUCCUAAGCCCAGCAAACCAACUCAGCCCAAUGCUAUGGCCCGAUUUUAAGAAAAUUCCAGAAACACCUAGGGUUUUCGAAACCCUUUUGCGCCGCAAUCCAGGUUCUGCUUCGCGCGUGCUGCACCAAUGCCAAGCAUCGGCCUCCCCCACGUGCCUCCGUACACUCCAGCUGGACUUCUCCGUACCUGCAACAAACAAUAAGUCGACAGCAAAAAUGGAACAAAAACAAAAAAAGAAGAAGCUAGCAGAGAAAACGGAAGAAAUAAUAGAAAAAAAGAAGAAAAAUCAUUUUGUAAUAUACGGCAAUAUAAAAGGCCGAUGGAUUCAUUCUUGUAGGGGGUACGCAUUCAAUACACAGAUUUUUUCGAUAUACAGAAAUCAAAAAAGUUCCAAAAGGUGAUUUCCCCAGUUUUUUCUUGUUACGAUUUCGGUUUCUUUUUUUUCUUUUCUACGUUCAAUCGUUAGUUUCUUUAAAGCGAGAAAGCGAUUUAGAGAGGAGGAAAGCGUACUUGGCGGAGGGAUUUCGGCCUCCUCCGUCGUCAUCAGAGAGUAGGUCAGAAUCGAAGACUCUCCUCAGGCCCCCUGGUACGCAGAACGGCGCAAACGGAUGGGGGGGCUGUUGAUUUCUGAUGCGGCGUAGAACCCUUCUUUAGUUUAGGUUUUUCUUAUUUUAAAUGAUAGGUUUUAGGUUUUUAGGUUUUAAGUAUCUGAUUUCAAAACGCUGCCGUUCAGAGCCAAUACAAUAACACUGAAAUGGCACCGUUUCAUAGACCCGAUUCAAGCGGUGACCCGGUCCGGGAAGGAUCCGCACUUCAUGGAAUCGUUUGGCCUAUUUAUGCCCCAGGCCCCUCUUAGUUUGAAUUAGUCUCAAUUCGGUUACUUUAGUUUUUGUAAUUUAUACUGCGUAUUUAACUUUGUUUGCAUGUUGAUCCAAAGUUAAGCGACACCGUUUUACACCUGACGCUAUUAUACUAUUGUUUGCGCGAAAUUGUUGAUUGAAUCCCUUAAGAUUGAAAAUGAUUUCAUUUCGGUACAGCUGUUUUUAAAUUUAAUAAUAUAUAAUUUUAUUAUGGUUUAAAAUAUAACAAAUCAUUAUUUUAACUCGUAUUUUAUGUCUUAAAUUCGUUUUGCACUAAUACUUGGGGUUUAUUUAUUUUUUAUCAUUCUAACUUUUAC
rnacentral:lncRNA from 1 species